ACUCUGACAUGAGGAGCUGCAGCCACGGAAGAGCCGGGGAAGGCGUGGAUGAAGCAGGGACCCGUACACCAGCACCUGUCAGCGCUGCACUUCUCACUCCAGUCAGAUUCACAGGGGUGCACACCACCACCACAGGAUAUAUUGGUGUGAAAAAUAAAGCACAAACAGAUGAAUAUGGAGUAUUAAUAUUCAGAAUAGAUGAACAUGUCACAGCAAAUAACAGUAAUGAACAGAAUCCAGUAUAAUCCAAUAGCAGAGACAGGCACAGAGCCCCUCAGCAAUGUCCCAAGAUACAAAAUGACAAUCCUAGAUGCCUUCAACUAAGUCAGGAAUUUACUCUCAGCACAUGGAAGCUUGACUGGAUGCAGGAGCACAGAUGGCUGACUGGGAGCCACAACAGAAUCCCAGCUUGGCCCUGUUGGUUAUUAGAACCAAAGUUUGUAGCCGUCUAACGCUACAGGAAUCAGGAAUAGAAGCAGCUGUAUAAGAAAGCAGAACCAGGAACAUACAGCACUUCAACCAGGAAUUGCAGGUGCUGUAACAGGAAACAACACCAAGAGUAUACAUACAGCAAGGGAGCCAGGGCUUAGUGCAAACUCAACCCAUGCCCAUGUAGAGAGUCAAGACAAAGCUUAAAUACCAGGCAAUCAGCACUACCAGGUAACCACACCUGCAUAGCAACUUAACUCAGUUAAGAGCAAACUCUCCCAUGCAGGGUAACACUAUAGCAGAAACUGACAUUCUCCCACUUGCAUGCAGCACACCUGCAUUACAGCUCAGAGUGAUUGAAGGAACACACAUGAAAAGUUACUGACAAGGCAGAAAACUAAUAGAAUUACUUUGAGAUCUCAGGGGUAAUUCAUUUGUUUUUUUAGGCACCAACCACUAGAUGGUGCCUGGCAGCAGAAAUUAAAUUUUUCCACCUUUUCCACACAGGCACCAUCAUCGCCGUCAUUUCUGCUUUCAGCCUCCUGAUUUGGUGAGCAGAAAUGUGUGAAAAGUGUCCUGUGCACUAUUUUAGUUGAACGACCGAUGUAUCGUGGGUGUGUUGGCGGGUGUGUUACCCGAUUAGUCUGUGAAUGACUGGGUGAGCAUUGACG